ensembl:misc_RNA
UUAAAAGCCCUGGACACCACAGACUUCUUUUUAUCCACAUAACAGGUUCAAUACAGGCACUGUCAGUGCAAGCUUCCCUGUGUAGUUCACUUGUGAGCUUCAGUGCUGACAUAGAACAGCUGUGGGGGUGGCCUGAUUAACCCCUAACAAAA